rnacentral:rRNA from 1 species
CCUACGGGAGGCAGCAGUGGGGAAUCUUGCACAAUGGAGGAAACUCUGAUGCAGCGAUGCCGCGUGAGUGAAGAAGGCCUUUGGGUUGUAAAGCUCUUUUGUAGGGGAAGAUAAUGACUGUACCCUAAGAAUAAGGUCCGGCUAACUUCGUGCCAGCAGCCGCGGUAAUACGAAGGGACCUAGCGUAGUUCGGAAUUACUGGGCGUAAAGCGCGCGUAGGCCGUUGAGUUAGUUAAUUGUGAAAUCCCAAAGCUUAACUUUGGAACUGCAAUUAAAACUGCUCGACUAGAGUUUGAUAGAGGAAAGCGGAAUACAUAGUGUAGAGGUGAAAUUCGUAGAUAUUAUGUAGAACACCAGUUGCGAAGGCGGCUUUCUGGAUCAACACUGACGCUGAGGCGCGAAAGUAUGGGUAGCAAAGAGGAUUAGAUACCCUCGUAGUCCAUACCAUAAACGAUGAUUGCUAGAUGUUGGAAAUUUAUUUUCAGUAUCGCAGCUAACGCAUUAAGCAAUCCGCCUGGGGAUACGACCGCAAGGUUAAAACUCAAAUAAUUGACGG